AGUUAAGUGGCAGAUAAAUGCAACAAGUUUAAGCCUUGUCUAUAGAAUACAAUUCUCUUAGCUU
rnacentral:tRNA from 1 species